UCAUCCAAAUGAGGAUACUGAAUAUAAAAUAUGUUUCCUCAACAAAAUUAAAUAAACAUUCCGUUCAGUUAUUGUAUGUAACUAGAAGUGAACACAAAUGUAAAACUCAAAUAUGUAUGUUAUUAGUUUAAUAAUUUUGUUUUUGUGCGCUGCAGAUGGAUUAGCUCCAAAAUGUACUAAAGCUGAAAACUUUAAACAGAAAUGUAAAGAUAAGAAACACAUUUUACUUCUUAAUACAUCUGACUCUCAAGACAUUAAUCAAUUUAAAACAUUCUCCGAUGAUGUUGAAGUUAUUGAUGAAAUAUGUCCUGGAGGUGUCCAGGGACUUCUUGCAGCAACCACGGUGCUCCCAAAUUGUUACAUCGUUAACCUAAAUGUUUCUGAUUUCUAUAAAUUUGAUAUCGAUAACCUUUCACAGUAUUUAUUAUAUGGAGGUGACAGAAACUACUCUCAGUAUAAAAUUGGAGCUUGCGUCGUAAAACUCAACACUUCAAAUAUAAUUUGCAAUAAUAAUACAAUCAAAAAAUUCUCGUUCCCUUCCGUAAAACUAAUGAGUGAAAAUGUAGAGAACUAUCAUGAAUUAUACAACGCCGUCCUAAAUUUUCCUAACAAAAGUCACGUUGAAAAGCAUGAAGAAAAGGCAGCAAGCAACUUUGUUAUACUCAUAUGUACCGACAACGAGCCGAAUGAGGUUUCCAAACAUUAUGUUGGAAAUGAUAUAAAAUUUUCUACUCAUUGCGAACGUGACAUUGAAAUAUAUCAAAAAGAUCUUUUAGCCGUUGUGACGGCGAAACCUUUAGAAAUCGAUUACGACAUUAUGGUGCCGAUUAUGCUGUAUCAAGCUCCGUGUUAUGAUGAAAAUAUUUCUAAAAUUCAUAAUUACGUGACAAUGACUAAAUGCGACCAUUAUAAACUUGCGUUGGUGGAGUUUUUGAAGAGUGUUGGGUGGACUAGAGUGGCUGUCGUCUCCGAUAAUGCAGCAUAUAGUGAAAAAUUUGAACGAGAAGUCACGGCUCUGUUUGACGAGAACUAAUUUGCUUAUACAGUUGUAAAAUGUCAUGAAUCCCUCAAGAGGGGAUGUAACUUUACUGAGGCGCUGGAAUCACUUAAAAAGUCGGACGGAAGGGUGUUCAUCGCAAAUAUGGACGAAAACAACGCUAGAAUUCUACAACAGCAAGCCUCACAUGUUUGGACGGGGUAUAAUUUUCUAUCGUCAUGGAUCUUCAAAGGUUUCAUGUUAACAGGAGAUACUGGGGUGUGAUGCUAAUGCUUGGCUUAGGCUAUGGGUGACGUUUACUCCAUAUUUCUGGAGCCAGAAAACAACCAGAUUAUGACCAAUACGCUUCAACAUAUUUUGAAUGAUAUACGAUACAAGAAUAGUAUAAUUACGGCGAUUAAAAUGAUUCGUACCGCUUAUACUAGAAUUUUGCGUCGAUACAAUGAAAUGGAAAGAAAAUAUUUUUUUUGGAAUUUAACUAACAAAAUACGGAAGCAACUAUCAUCAGGCGCCAAAGUAAAUGUCCAUUUGAAAAGCCCGCGAGAAGUUUUUACCGAAAUGACCAUUAUGGAUGGUAAAGUGACCACCCACUAUAAGAGACAGCGUCGGCGUGAAGAUAUGACUAGUUGCUCUUUUAGAAGAACUGAUUACCACAACCCGUGCGAUGACCAUACACUUCUGAACAUAAUGAUAGUUUUCGUUGUGAUCGCUUCGUGUGGUCUGGUGGCGACCAUUUUCUACUACAGGUUUGAUUUUAACAUACGGCGGUAGAUAAACCUUGAAUAAUAAAGGCUCCGUCAAGCCUCGCCAGACAGAGCGUGGCUAGGUGUGAUAUGCACUUCGAGUGGUGACCGCGUGCUCUGGACAUACUGGUUCCUUUAAUGAUAUCUCCCCAAAACUUGAUAAAGAAGUCUGAGAAAUUGGCUUUUUACUAAAAUGAAAUAAUAUACAAGAGUACACAAGGUAUUAAAAAAAGUACCACACGUUUUUAAACAAAAUCAGAAAAUAUAAAAAUUUUAGGCUAGGUCACUUUAGUUCUCAGCGUGCUAUAUUACAAGCCACGCUCUCUGUCUGGCGAGGUAGAACAGGCGUUUCUUGCCCGUUGAAAUACGUGUUAACUAACAUUGAUUUUAUAAAAAAAAAACUUAAUUGUGCUCUUACGCGUUUGACUACGACCUUUUGCAAUAUGUGUAUAUACAAUAUGGUUUGUAAUAUGCGUGUAUAUAGGCGUCGCCAAAAUUGUAUUUAGGGAGAUGCAACUGCAAUCUACACACUAUAGUAGGUACUACAUAACAUCAUUAUUUUGAAUUUUUUUAGUAAAAGGUAUUUGUACAUACUAAAUAAUAAUAAAACCUCUAUGGUCGAUAGUUCCCAUUGUCAUUCGUUCAUUUUUAUUAUGAUUUGUUACGGAUGGGGGGACCCCUUAGCAUCCCUCUCCAGCGCCUAUGUGCAUUGUGCGUGUACCUUGCGUCUUGAAGAAGCGUUCAAACGCGCCCACUACGACGCAACUUAAAAUUUUCGACGAAAUAUUCGUUUUGUUUGCACGUAAUUGUACAGAAAAUGAAUAAGGAUAAAUAUAACAAUAUUAUUGAAACGGACAUUAUAAUUAAGCCGUCUAAAUUAAUUAGAAUUCGCGUUAUUUUUACUUGUAUUGGAUAAAUUUAUGUAUAAAGAAUUUAAGCAAAAUGUUAUCCCGGGUAUUUAUAUGUCGUCGAAAUAAAUAAGGAUAAUACUGUA